GACGAACGCUGGCGGCGUGCUUAACACAUGCAAGUCGAACGGAAAGGCCCUGCUUUUGUGGGGUGCUCGAGUGGCGAACGGGUGAGUAACACGUGAGUAACCUGCCCUUGACUUUGGGAUAACUUCAGGAAACUUGGGCUAAUACCGGAUAGGAUCUCCUGCUGCAUGGUGGGGGUUGGAAAGUUUCGGCGGUUGGGGAUGGACUCGCGGCUUAUCAGCUUGUUGGUGGGGUAGUGGCUUACCAAGGCUUUGACGGGUAGCCGGCCUGAGAGGGUGACCGGCCACAUUGGGACUGAGAUACGGCCCAGACUCGUACGGGAGGCAGCAGUGGGGAAUAGUGCACAAUGGGCGGAAGCCUGAUGCAGCAAAGCAGCGUGCGGGAUGACGGCCUUCGGGUUGUAAACCGCUUUCGCCUGUGACGAAGCGUGAGUGACGGUAAUGGGUAAAGAAGCACCGGCUAACUACGUG
rnacentral:rRNA from 1 species